UACGUAGGGGGCAAGCGUUGUCCGGAAUCAUUGGGCGUAAAGAGCGCGUAGGCGGCCCUGUAAGUCCGCUGUGAAAGUCAAAGGCUCAACCUUCGAAUGCCGGUGGAUACUGUCGGGCUAGAGUCCGGAAGAGGCGAGUGGAAUUCCUGGUGUAGCGGUGGAAUGCGCAGAUAUCAGGAGGAACACCAAUAGCGAAGGCAGCUCGCUGGGACGGUACUGACGCUAAGGGCGCGAAAGCGUGGGGAGCGAACAGGA
rnacentral:rRNA from 1 species